UCAAUACUGGACGCACGACACGAUAUUCUCUUAUAAUAGCAAAACUAAUGGUUACUGCGAUAGGCUGCUACCUGCUGGGGGUAAUAAUUUUCGCCUAUAUCACUGAUGGAUCUCCAUUCCAUAUGGAAGUACUCACACCGUGCAUGAUAACAGCGAUUAUAGAUGUCUCGAUCCAUACUGUUGUUUACUCGGUAUGGAUAGCAUAUAAGGAGACAAGUUGGAUAAGUGCUGUCUUUUGGAUAAUUGUACUU